UGUAAAGGGUGCGUAGACGGGAAAUUAAGUUAGUUGUGAAAUCCCUUGGCUUAACUGAGGAACUGCAACUAAAACUGGUUUUCUUGAGUACUGGAGAGGAAAGUGGAAUUCCUAGUGUAGCGGUGAAAUGCGUAGAUAUUAGGAGGAACACCAGUGGCGAAGGCGACUUUCUGGACAGUUACUGACGUUGAGGCACGAAAGUGUGGGGAGCAAACAGGAUUAGAUACCCUGGUAGUCCACACUGUAAACGAUGGAUACUAGGUGUAGGGUGUAUUAAGCACUCUGUGCCGCCGCAAACGCAUUAAGUAUCCCACCUGGGGAGUACGACCGCAAGGUUGAAACUCAAAGGAAUUGACGGGGGCCCGCACAAGCAGUGGAGUAUGUGGUUUAAUUCGAUGCAACGCGAAGAACCUUACCAGGGCUUGACAUAAACAGGAAUAAGUAAGAGAUUACUUAGCUCUUCGGAGUCUGUUUACAGGUGGUGCAUGGUUGUCGUCAGCUCGUGUCGUGAGAUGUUGGGUUAAGUCCCGCAACGAGCGCAACCCCUGCUUUUAGUUGCCAGCACGUAAUGGUGGGAACUCUAGAAGGACUGCCGGUGAUAAAUCGGAGGAAGGUGGGGACGACGUCAAAUCAUCAUGCCCUUUAUGUCCUGGGCUACACACGUACUACAAUGGCCGCAACAGAGGGAAGCAAAAUAGUGAUAUGGAGCAAAACCCUAAAAACGGUCUCAGUUCGGAUUGAAGGCUGAAAUUCGCCUUCAUGAAGCUGGA
rnacentral:rRNA from 1 species